rnacentral:lncRNA from 1 species
CCUUUUCGAAAAUACUUUAUCUUCUGAUUUUAAGUACUAAUCAAUUAUUACUAUUUUUCUUAUGUCUCAUUAUUCUGAUGAAACCCUAGCCUUAUGGUUUAUAUUUAUACUAUUUUGUCGUGUUUGCUUGUCUGUGUGUUCUCUUGGAUUUUUCUCUGAGUUCUGUACUCUUUGCUUUAAUUUUGUUGCUCGUGUUUCCAUCCCCUACUAUUCUGUGUUCUUUUCUUAGGAUUCUCUCUGAUAUUGUUCAAUAUGAGUUAUGUAUCAUUUGCUAAACUUGACUAUUCGUCC